ACGGCUUUGAAAUCUGAGCAGUGAGAAAUGGGAAAGGGUGUGAUAUGGGCAACGGCAGAGGACUUGGCAAGAAACAGAGGACGCGUUCUCUCACUGUAUCGCCAAAUUCUGAGAAGCCUCAACUCACCGGAUUUGCCUCUGAAUUUGGCAGCAAGGCUGGCCAAGAAAGCUGAGGCGCGCGCAAUCUUCAUGGUGGCGUCUGAGGAGAGGUCCCUGCACAACAUUGAUGACCUCAUUGAUGCUGCUCACUACUCUCUUUCCCUCUUAAGGAAAGGAGAAAUACCCAAGUACAUCCAAUGAGCCUAUCUUUAGGAAGUGAAGAUAUUUUUCGCUUCUCAGUUGCUCUCCCUUUUACGCAGAUUACCGAACUGAAAUUGUAAAAUGUAUGUGCACGACAAUGCGAAAUGGAAUCUUGUUGUGCGUUUAAUUCCUUUCAUACUCGUAUAACUUGUAAUCUAUGCUACAUUUUCAUAAAAUGUGCCAAGAUAGUUCUUCUGUUAAUAAGAUUGAUUAAUUAGAUUGGGUUUGCUCUAUGUUAAA